CACUCCACCAGCCACUCCCUACCACCCUGGACCAGCGAUCUCAGCCCUCAGAGCCUCAGUGUCCUCCUGGGUAUCACGGGGACCAUACUGGUCACAAGAUGAUGUGAAGAUUGAAUGGCAUAAUGCAGCCACCGGUUCUGCUAUUCCCUGCUGUCUCGGAGGAGGCCUGACUCACAGCGUUCACCUGCCACUGACCAGGGCAAGCUUUAACUGUUUGCUUCCUCUGCCCAAACGGGCCUUAUAAGUCAACACAGUGUCCACUUGUUGCAGACAUGCUACUCUUUAUUAAACUGGGACAGACCAGA